CCUACGGGAGGCAGCAGUGGGGAAUAUUGGGCAAUGGAGGAAACUCUGAACCAGCAAAGCCGCGUGAAUGAAGAAGGUCUUCGGAUUGUAAAGUUCUUUUGUCAGGGAAGAAUAAACUGACGGUACCUGAAGAAUAAGCUCAGGCUAACUACCUGCCUGCAGCACCGGUGAUACGUAGGGAGCGAGCGUUGUUCGGAAUGACUGGGUGUACAGGGUGCGUAGGCGGUUAUACAAGUUAGAAGGGAAAUACCCAGGGCUUAACCCGGGGGCUGCUUAUCAAACUGGAAGACUGGAGUGCAGGAGAGGUAAGUGGAAUUCCUGGUGUAGCGGUGAAAUGCGUAGAUAUUAGGAAGAACACCAGAGGCGAAGGCGGCUUACUGGACUGCAACUGACGCUGAGGCACGAAAGCGUGGGGAGCGAACAGGAUUAGAUACCCUGGUAGUC
rnacentral:rRNA from 1 species